rnacentral:rRNA from 1 species
UGGGGAAUUUUGGACAAUGGGCGAAAGCCUGAUCCAGCAAUGCCGCGUGUGUGAAGAAGGCCUUCGGGUUGUAAAGCACUUUUGUCCGGAAAGAAAUCCUUGGCUCUAAUACAGUCNAGGGGAUGACGGGUACCGGAAGAAUAAGCACCGGCUAACUACGUGCCAGCAGCCGCGGUAAUACGUAGGGUGCAAGCGUUAAUCGGAAUUACUGGGCGUAAAGCGUGCGCAGGCGGUUUGCUAAGACCGAUGUGAAAUCCCCGGGCUCAACCUGGGAACUGCAUUGGUGACUGGCAGGCUAGAGUAUGGCAGAGGGGGGUAGAAUUCCACGUGUAGCAGUGAAAUGCGUAGAGAUGUGGAGGAAUACCGAUGGCGAAGGCAGCCCCCUGGGCCAAUACUGACGCUCAUGCACGAAAGCGUGGGGAGCAAACAGGAUUAGAUACCCUGGUAGUCCACGCCCUAAACGAUGUCAACUAGUUGUUGGGGAUUCAUUUCCUUAGUAACGUAGCUAACGCGUGAAGUUGACCGCCUGGGGAGUACGGUCGCAAGAUUAAAACUUAAAUGAAUUGACGGGGUCAUAGCUGUUUCCU